rnacentral:rRNA from 1 species
UACGAAGGGGGCUAGCGUUGCUCGGAAUCACUGGGCGUAAAGGGUGCGUAGGCGGGUCUUUAAGUCAGGGGUGAAAUCCUGGAGCUCAACUCCAGAACUACCUUUGAUACUGAGGAUCUUGAGUCCGGGGAGAGGUGAGUGGAACUGCGAGUGUAGAGGUGAAAUUCGUAGAUAUUCGCAAGAACACCAGUGGCGAAGGCGGCUCACUGGCCCGGUACUGACGCUGAGGCACGGAAAGCGUGGGGAGCAAACAGGG